rnacentral:rRNA from 1 species
AACGAACGCUGGCGGCAUGCCUAACACAUGCAAGUCGAACGAGACCUUUGGGUCUAGUGGCGCACGGGUGCGUAACGCGUGGGAAUCUGCCCUUGGGUUCGGAAUAACAGUGAGAAAUUGCUGCUAAUACCGGAUGAUGUCUUCGGACCAAAGAUUUAUCGCCCAGGGAUGAGCCCGCGUAGGAUUAGCUAGUUGGUGGGGUAAUGGCCUACCAAGGCUACGAUCCUUAGCUGGUCUGAGAGGAUGAUCAGCCACACUGGGACUGAGACACGGCCCAGACUCCUACGGGAGGCAGCAGUGGGGAAUAUUGGACAAUGGGCGCAAGCCUGAUCCAGCAAUGCCGCGUGAGUGAUGAAGGCCUUAGGGUUGUAAAGCUCUUUUACCAGGGAUGAUAAUGACAGUACCUGGAGAAUAAGCUCCGGCUAACUCCGUG